AACGAACGCUGGCGGCAGGCCUAACACAUGCAAGUCGAGCGAGGACUUCGGUUCUAGCGGCGGACGGGUGAGUAACGCGUGGGAAUGUGCCCUUCUCUACGGAAUAGCCCUGGGAAACUGGGAGUAAUACCGUAUACGCCCUAUUGGGGAAAGAUUUAUCGGAGAAGGAUCAGCCCGCGUUGGAUUAGGUAGUUGGUGGGGUAAUGGCCUACCAAGCCGACGAUCCAUAGCUGGUUUGAGAGGAUGAUCAGCCACACUGGGACUGAGAUACGGCCCAGACUCCUACGGGAGGCAGCAGUGGGGAAUCUUAGACAAUGGGGGCAACCCUGAUCUAGCCAUGCCGCGUGAGUGAUGAAGGCCUUAGGGUUGUAAAGCUCUUUCAGCUGGGAAGAUAAUGACGGUACCAGCAGAAGAAGCCCCGGCUAACUCCGUG
rnacentral:rRNA from 1 species